GAAACCACAGCUUGAAGGACCAGAGGCAAGUUACUGGCAGACUUCAUCUGGUCAGCAUAUGAUACUUUGGGGUAUUCCAGGGUGGUGGGAAGAGGGAAGUUUAUUUCACACAGAUAGGGGUCAGGGCCCACAAAAUUUUUAACACUGCAAUGAUGCCCAGUGGCCAGCCUGUACCUGUAUAGGACACAAGGAGAGAGGAUUGAUGAACUCUGAGUAAUACUAUCCUUUUUUGUAUUUUGUUGGGUAACAUUUCUCUGCCUAGGACUCUGCUGUUCUUUCUGAUUUAGGAUUUCAGAGAGUGAGGGCAUCUCACUGGUGAAUGCUGAGUAGCUGCCUAAGGGCACGUUUCACCCUAUUGUUAUGCUGUGCUAAAGGAGAAGAUUGGUUUGGUUUCCUACCUACUCACAUGCACGCAGGGGGGCCUUUACAACAAAAUCCAAAAAAGCAGUUUGACUCUCUUAUCCUUUCUAUUAGGCCAGGUGCAUUGGUAUCAGCCUUUUUUAAGGUGGUAGCUUUUGUGGACCAUGAAUUAGAAGAGAUCAAGCCUUUGUUUCCCUGUCACGUCAGCAGGCCACAGCUAUUGGGUCCUUACAUUUGAAAUGCUAAUAGAGAUUAUCAGGAGGUCAGGGAGUCUCAGGAGGCUCUCUCUAAUCUUUUUUCUCUCCAGGCCGGGCUCAUCUGGACCCGUGAACUAAAUGUAGCUAUGAAUCAAAAAAUGUAAUGUUUGGGGUUUUUUUCUGAUAUUGUUUUAGAUUUCCUGAAGUGAUGUCUGGAAAACCCGGGGAACAGAACAGAACAAAAAUUAUCAUGUCCCAGAACUAGCAUAACGGGGAGAAAUUAUUCCGAUUUCAGUGAAUUUCUCAAACCAUUGUCAAGUUCCUGACAUUGUUCUUCCCUGUCCCGAGGUUCCACCUCACUGUGUGCUGGUGCUGCUGUGCCACCAGCAGAGCCACCACUGCAGGAGUUGUGGCCACCUUGAGAGCACAACCUGGCAGCUGCCCAGCCACACUUAGCAGCCAACAUUGCCUAUUGCAAUAGCUCUUCUUGCGAAUCUGCAGAGUUUUCAGUUCAAAACUUCAGGUGAGGUCAUGGCUCAGCUGAGAACUGCAACAUCUGAUUCAGUGCUAUUGAGUUAAUUGCUUGUAAUCAAGACUGUUUACUCAUGGAAAUAGCAAACCUCUGUGUUUACUGCUAGGAUUAACGUGUGCUGUGGAAGGCUUUUGAAGGCUUUUGAGGCCUCAGCAGUUAGUCUCUCGUUGUGGUGGUGUUGUCUCAGACAAGCAUGCACUGCUGAUACUGCAGAAAGCAUGAGCAGCUGAUGCUCCUGUCGUCCAUGACAGAAAACUUCGGGGCAGUGUCCUGCUAAGAUGGCCUCUGGGCAGUGCUGGCAGCAAGUUAUGGCUUCAGAUGGGAUGAGAACCCUAAGGACUUAAAGAUGGGAUAAGACCCCUGUGAUCCCAAAGGCUCUGACUCAGUCCUGCAACAAAGUUGUUUCACCAGCCUUGAGGAGACGACGUGUUCCUGGGACGUUUACAACUGUAGAGAAGAAAAUGUUACUGACUUAGAGCAGGCCAUUGCAUGAGGUGAGAAGAGUGCUUUUUAACUCAACAGAAGAAAGCACAUUUGGGAAACAAAACUGAAGAACAGAAACUCAAGCCCAGUCUCAGGAAAUUAAACCCAUUGUGGUGGGUGAGGCCUCCCUGAAGACCAGAGUACCCAGCCCAGUCUUGAAGAGAUGCCUGAAGAAAGUUUGCAGGAUCAACUUUGCUGUCUGGCUGUGGAAAGAUAAUCUCUACCACCAAUUUCUCUUCACCCAGGACCUGCCACGGUCUCACUGCUGCUCAGCCAAGGGCAGUGCUGGAGACAGAGAGUAAUCCUAUGGCAGAAGAAAACCUACCAUGCUUCCCAGCCUGCUGCUCUGCAGCUCACCAUUUCUGGUGCAGGACUUCCCCAAGUGUCCUCUCUUGUGCCGUGAUCAGACUGUGUUGAACGUGCUGCUAACAAACACAUGCAGGGGCUCACUUCCACCUUGGCGCUGCCUGCUGAUGUGCGUGUGAUAUCAGUGAGUAAAAUAAGCCUCGAUCUUUACAAAAGCCGUGCUCUAAGUUUAUCUUACUUCAAAAAAUAAGUUCCCUCUACAAAAGCAGGAAGCCUACUCUGUCUCCUUUCCCACAACAAUCUACAUUUUUGGGGAAAUGCCAGCCCUGAGACUCUUCCUGUCUUUUCAUUAUGUCAGAAAGCUCAUGGUGUGUUCAAAAAUAAUCAACAUUAGGAUUUACUUCUUUUUAAACAAAUGAUGAUACAACGUUAUUUAUAAACAGGUAUUAUUAAAUCCAGAUGCUUUUGUGUCUGAAGUUGGGACAGAGGUUGUUGACUCCAAGUCAAGCAGUCAUUCAUUUCAUGACUUUUAUUUUCCUCUCAGGCAGAGCCUGCAAGAAGUGGUGGCAAGGCAAAAGUUACUCAGCCAUAAAACUGAGUAUUUACUGUGGCUGCAAUGGGAAGAGGCACAGCCCCAGGAUCCAAAGGGAGAACAAAGCCUAUGUGGUAUCUAGUGGGAUAAGCUUGAAUUAAAAGCAUUAUAACCAACGUAUCUAAAAGCAGCUAGGGAUUUGGGGUGCCCAGCUCCAGACACAUAAUUUUCAGAAAAUACAAGGGUAUCAGCUUCUGAAAAUUUGCCCAUUUUGAGCUGUCCCAAAACUAACAGUGAUUUUUUGUACGCUGUUCCAAUGGAUAGUCAGAAGUUCCUUAUUAUCCCAGGAAAUACAGGCUUUCUGCCACAUUGUACCCUCUUUUUGCACAUCUAUCAACUCCCCUUCCUGCCAGUAUGCUACUGCACGACUGUAGGCAUGUCUGUACUGAACUAAGGAGACACUAACACUAUAACAUUUUCCAUUAUAGCUGUGGAAACACAAGGGAAGGCUACAAGGGACAGAUGAGGUCUUGGAGAAUAGGAUGAAGUAAAACACUGGGGUCUAAGUUAGAUUGGAGAAAAAGAAUUAAGCAUUUGACUGUGACCUCUUUCACUUAGGGACCAUCUUUUUGUUCCGUAUUUGUCCUGUGCUUAAUGUCAUAGGCUUGAUUCAUGUCUGUGGCUGCUGGGUUUGUAGGGCAAUGGGCAGGGACAGAAGAAGGUCCUGGUUUUCCAUGCUCUGUAUUUAGGGCUGAAGGCACUGGAAAGCAAAGGUGUGUUUGGGAUGGGCAUGGAAAAAACCUGGCUUUUAGCAAAAGUUAGAGAGAAUCUCUAACUCCUAGGAGUAAAUACAGGUGUCCAGAAAAUGAGAGGGAAAAGGUGUAGAGUAGUUGAUCCAAGUCUUGGGCAAGGUGGAUCUACCCCUGUAGAGCAGCUAAACCAAACUGAAGGUUGGACUCAAUAUGCUGAAGAUCCCUGUUUCACAGCCAGCCUUCAGAGGCUGCUUAGGGCAGUUUGGGCUAUUUAACAGCAAAUUAAUCUGCAUUUUAUUGAAGUGAUCUCAGAAAGCACAAAUCAGGCAGACCCUCCAGUGCUCACACAUUUCUUCAGGGCCAGUCUCCUCUGUGGUCAGAAUGCAAUGGCCGAAACUUUUAGGGGUGUCCUUCCACAGGGCUGGUUAGCAUUAGGAUUGCUCAGAUACGGCACGUGUUCUAUACAGAAUAUUUGUGUAAUUAGCUGGUUGCCACCCAAAGAAUUGCACAGAGAAGGUCUCUCGAGGAGCCCUUCAAAGACUUUGUUUUUUCAUAGAGUGACUUAGGAAAUACCUAAAGACCCCUAGCUAUCUUAUGGUGAUGCCAAGUGCAGCAUAGACUCUGGUCUGUCAUGUUCUGGUCUAAAUAUUUUCCUCUCAGCAUCUGUGAGACUGUUUUAUGCAAGUAGUGAAGAGUCAGCAACCACAGGAAAAUCCAGGAUGUCUCUUCCAUUCUCUGUCCUCCCAGCUGAAGUUUCAUGACUGAAAUUUGUCCUACUGUCCACACAGUAAUAGUCAAAUAGUGUUGGAACAAGAGCUGUGUGACCAUUUCUGAGAUGAUGAAGAAGGAAAAAUACCUUGCCUACUUUUCUGUAAGGUGAAGAUAUGGAGGAUCAUAAAGACACAAUUUAUGAAUCAAAUGGUUAAAUCUUCUCUAGGAAGGUAAGAACGUAAUACAUGCCAGAUUUUGCUUCUAGGCACAAGACUGAGCCAGAUUGAGCUUCUUUUCUGGAAGAAGCAGAGUUAAAGACUCCCAGUUAUGCUAUGCUGAGUUACUCACAUCACGUUUUUUUGACCCUAAGGAGCUAAGGUGCACUACAUUGACUGUACACCUGUGUAACCAAAGAGGAAUCUCUGCCCUGGUCAGUGCUCACCUAAGUUAUGGGCACAGGUUUUCAGUAUGUGUGUUCCUGGCAAUAAACCAUGACAGUUGUGCUGGCCCACAGAUUUCUUAGGAAGCUUAAAAAUACAGAAUCAGCAUUUGCACUGGGAACUUUGGCUUAUCUAGAGCUCUCUAGUCAAUAUUUUGACUGGUGUAAAUCACACCUUUUCCUCUGUGGCUACCCAGCUCACAGAGGUGGGAGCCUGUGCUCCUGUCUCUGGAGAAUAUUGUACUCACUGCAGCAUCUGAUCACUACAGAGGUUUGAAGUUCAGCAGGAGCUGCAAGAAUGAGAGUUGUUUUCAAGUCUCUUGUCCAACUGACAUAUAAUCAAAAUCUGCAUAUCUGAUCAUCUGGUCAGCACUUUGUCCAGCCUCAUUUCAGCUGUUACUUGGAUGCAUGUGAUGUGCUUUUUUACAAUUGGGCUCAAUGGAGAACUGUCCUGGACUGGACAGGACAGUUCAGCAGGAGCUGAAGAUGAUGGGCAGCUUGCAGGGGAGACUUUUCUUCUUUCAGAAAAAUGCUCACUGAUGUAUCUUGCAUUUCCUUCUGUUUCUGUGCUUCACACAAUGCUCUCCACUUUUCUUGUGGAUAGUUUUGGGUUAUACUAUGCUCCCUCCUGCCACACAUCCCUCACUGUGAGCUCUUGCCAUGUGAGCAUGGCCAGUACAGGCAGCACAGUGGCUGUGCCACCCGACAGGGAACGUAACUACAGACCUCCCAUCCCGGGCUCGGAGCAGCCCGUUCGUGACGCCACAGGCUGAGUGGGAAGCAUUUGUCACUUCAGCUGACAGCACCGAAAGGCUUGUGAAUAACAGGAAAGAGAGGGAUCAUGCUGUUGUUUCUGACGGCUCCACCCUGCUGUCCAGGAGGGGCUGUGCUUGCUGAUAGUUUUUGGUUUCCUCUGAGGGGCAUGCACAGGCUAGGAGCUGACCAUCACAGGUAGCCCUAUCCUUCCCCUGAACUGUACCACUCUGCAAAGAAACAUUUUGACUGUUUUGGCCCAGUAUAAAUAGCACUGCAUGAAUAAUGAUUUUUUUUUUUCAUUUAAUGAUGACAGUACUCCCAUCACUUUUCUUCUUCUAGGAAUAUGGGCUGGGCUGACUUUAAAUGUAAACUUUAUGAAGUGUGAGGAAGUGUUUGUAAAGCAAAAGCAUCAAAAGCUAUGUAUCUUCAAACUUCAAGCUUCAGAGGAAAUGCUUUUAUUUAGGCUUCAAAGUUCUUUCUCUUGUUGUUUGACAGCUUCCAUUUUCUUUCAUCUUUCAAAAUGUAGGCAAAUUUCAAAAUAACGACUGUUCAAAACAAAAGAUCAGAAAGCUUUGUCUAAAAAUGCCAGACUGAAAUGAUUUGAUGUAUAUUUUCAGCCAAAGCCAUUCACCAACUGAAUCCAAAUGGUCAAAACAUUUGGUCAUUUCCAGUCUCUCUUUUUCAGCAUUUUCCUUCCUGUUCUCUUGGAAGUGGCCUCAGCAGUGAGGGAUGGUCAGGAGGGCAUAAAGGGACAACUUCAUCCAGAGAGUGAAUCCUUGUUUGGGUGUGGUGAGCCAGUAAGCACAGUUGGCACUGCCACAGCCAGCUGGCCUGGGGAAACUCAUCUGCUCUUC